rnacentral:rRNA from 1 species
GACGUAGGGGCCAGCGUUGUUCGGAAUUACUGGGUGUAAAGGGUUCGUAGGCGGUGUAGCAAGUCGGGAGUGAAAUCUCUGGGCUUAACCCAGAGGCUGCUUCCGAAACUGCUGUGCUUGAGUGUGGGAGAGGCGCGUGGAAUUCCUGGUGUAGCGGUGAAAUGCGCAGAUAUCAGGAGGAACACCAAUGGCGAAGGCAGCUCGCUGGAACGGAACUGACGCUAAGGAGCGAAAGCGUGGGGAGCGAACGAGG